CUGCGAUAAGCGCCGGUAAGGUGAUAUGAACCGUUAUAACCGGCGAUACCCGAAUGGGGAAACCCAGUGUGACUCGUCACACUAUCAUUAACUGAAUCCAUAGGUUAAUGAGGCGAACCGGGGGAACUGAAACAUCUAAGUACCCCGAGGAAAAGAAAUCAACCGAGAUUCCCCCAGUAGCGGCGAGCGAACGGGGAGGAGCCCAGAGCCUGAAUCAGCAUGUGUGUUAGUGGAAGCGUCUGGAAAGGCGCGCGAUACAGGGUGACAGCCCCGUACACAAAAGCGCAUGUGCUGUGAGCUCGAUGAGUAGGGCGGGACACGUGGUAUCCUGUCUGAAUAUGGGGGGACCAUCCUCCAAGGCUAAAUACUCCUGACUGACCGAUAGUGAACCAGUACCGUGAGGGAAAGGCGAAAAGAACCCCGGCGAGGGGAGUGAAAAAGAACCUGAAACCGUGUACGUACAAGCAGUGGGAGCACCCUUUGGGGUGUGACUGCGUACCUUUUGUAUAAUGGGUCAGCGACUUAUAUUCUGUAGCAAGGUUAACCGAAUAGGGGAGCCGGAGGGAAACCGAGUCUUAAUUGGGCGUUAAGUUGCAGGGUAUAGACCCGAAACCCGGUGAUCUAGCCAUGGGCAGGUUGAAGGUUGGGUAACACUAACUGGAGGACCGAACCGACUAAUGUUGAAAAAUUAGCGGAUGACCUGUGGCUGGGGGUGAAAGGCCAAUCAAACCGGGAGAUAGCUGGUUCUCCCCGAAAGCUAUUUAGGUAGCGCCUCGUGAAUUCAUCUCCGGGGGUAGAGCACUGUUUCGGCUAGGGGGCCAUCCCGGCUUACCAACCCGAUGCAAACUGCGAAUACCGGAGAAUGUUAUCACGGGAGACACACGGCGGGUGCUAACGUCCGUCGUGAAGAGGGAAACAACCCAGACCGCCAGCUAAGGUCCCAAAGUCAUGGUUAAGUGGGAAACGAUGUGGGAAGGCCCAGACAGCCAGGAUGUUGGCUUAGAAGCAGCCAUCAUUUAAAGAAAGCGUAAUAGCUCACUGGUCGAGUCGGCCUGCGCGGAAGAUGUAACGGGGCUAAACCAUGCACCGAAGCUGCGGCAGCGACGCUGAUGCGUUGUUGGGUAGGGGAGCGUUCUGUAAGCCUGCGAAGGUGGCCUGUGAGGGUUGCUGGAGGUAUCAGAAGUGCGAAUGCUGACAUAAGUAACGAUAAAGCGGGUGAAAAGCCCGCUCGCCGGAAGACCAAGGGUUCCUGUCCAACGUUAAUCGGGGCAGGGUGAGUCGACCCCUAAGGCGAGGCCGAAAGGCGUAGUCGAUGGGAAACGGGUUAAUAUUCCCGUACUUGGUGUUACUGCGAAGGGGGGACGGAGAAGGCUAUGUUGGCCGGGCGACGGUUGUCCCGGUUUAAGCGUGUAGGUGUGUGUUCCAGGUAAAUCCGGUUCACUUUAACACUGAGGCGUGAUGACGAGGCACUACGGUGCUGAAGCAACAAAUGCCCUGCUUCCAGGAAAAGCCUCUAAGCAUCAGGUAACAUCAAAUCGUACCCCAAACCGACACAGGUGGUCAGGUAGAGAAUACCAAGGCGCUUGAGAGAACUCGGGUGAAGGAACUAGGCAAAAUGGUGCCGUAACUUCGGGAGAAGGCACGCUGACACGUAGGUGAAGUGAUUUACUCAUGGAGCUGAAGUCAGUCGAAGAUACCAGCUGGCUGCAACUGUUUAUUAAAAACACAGCACUGUGCAAACACGAAAGUGGACGUAUACGGUGUGACGCCUGCCCGGUGCCGGAAGGUUAAUUGAUGGGGUCAGCGCAAGCGAAGCUCCUGAUCGAAGCCCCGGUAAACGGCGGCCGUAACUAUAACGGUCCUAAGGUAGCGAAAUUCCUUGUCGGGUAAGUUCCGACCUGCACGAAUGGCGUAAUGAUGGCCAGGCUGUCUCCACCCGAGACUCAGUGAAAUUGAACUCGCUGUGAAGAUGCAGUGUACCCGCGGCAAGACGGAAAGACCCCGUGAACCUUUACUAUAGCUUGACACUGAACAUUGAGCCUUGAUGUGUAGGAUAGGUGGGAGGCUUUGAAGUGUGGACGCCAGUCUGCAUGGAGCCGACCUUGAAAUACCACCCUUUAAUGUUUGAUGUUCUAACGUGGACCCGUGAUCCGGGUUGCGGACAGUGUCUGGUGGGUAGUUUGACUGGGGCGGUCUCCUCCUAAAGAGUAACGGAGGAGCACGAAGGUUGGCUAAUCCUGGUCGGACAUCAGGAGGUUAGUGCAAUGGCAUAAGCCAGCUUGACUGCGAGCGUGACGGCGCGAGCAGGUGCGAAAGCAGGUCAUAGUGAUCCGGUGGUUCUGAAUGGAAGGGCCAUCGCUCAACGGAUAAAAGGUACUCCGGGGAUAACAGGCUGAUACCGCCCAAGAGUUCAUAUCGACGGCGGUGUUUGGCACCUCGAUGUCGGCUCAUCACAUCCUGGGGCUGAAGUAGGUCCCAAGGGUAUGGCUGUUCGCCAUUUAAAGUGGUACGCGAGCUGGGUUUAGAACGUCGUGAGACAGUUCGGUCCCUAUCUGCCGUGGGCGCUGGAGAACUGAGGGGGGCUGCUCCUAGUACGAGAGGACCGGAGUGGACGCAUCACUGGUGUUCGGGUUGUCAUGCCAAUGGCACUGCCCGGUAGCUAAAUGCGGAAGAGAUAAGUGCUGAAAGCAUCUAAGCACGAAACUUGCCCCGA
rnacentral:rRNA from 1 species